UAGCAUAGUCAUUUGUCUUUUAAUUGGAGGCUGGAAUGAAGGGUUUAACUAAAGAUAGUGUCUUUAUUUUAAAUUUGUAAUUUGUAAUAGGAGUAAAAAUACUCUGGUGUGAUUAAGGGACGACAAGACCCUAAAAGCUUUAUUUUUAACAUAGGUUUGAGUUUAAAAUAGAAUAGAAAGUUUAACUGGGGUAGUUUUUUUGUAAAAUCUGAGGUUGUAAAAGACAUAUAAAGUGGGGUUAGGUCCUUUAGAUAAGGAUAAUUUGAGUGAGUUACUUUAGGGAUAACAGCGUAAUAAUCCUAGGGAGAUCGUAUCUAUGGGGUUGAUU
rnacentral:rRNA from 1 species